CCCUAAACAACAACCUCACUCUUCGUCUUCCUCCUUUCUCUUUCACUUCUCCUCCAUUGAAGACAGUAUCCCAUUCUACAGUCAAAAGUUUGCCGGUGACGAGCUCCGGCGACCCUCAACGGCGACAAGAUUUUUUCUGAAAAUAUAAUGGAAGCAACAAUGGAGGAAUCAACUUCAUUUUGUCAGUUCUCAUCAAAUGAACAAAUUUCUAGAACUAUUUUGACAACAGAGCUUCCUUGUGUCCCGAGUGUUAUUAUGAAUGAGAAUGUUCAAACGAAAUCUAAAGUUACCAUUAGGUCUUCGAUGCAAAUAUUUGAAAAAAUAAAUUCUUGGUUAUCAAAAACUGACAAGAUUGUUUUUAGAAAAUACAGUCAGUUGGGUCAUUUGUUGGACCUCCCUUGGAAAGGGAAGUUUUGGGGGACCUUAUCGCACCAGAUAAUUGCAAGGAGGAUAAAUUGUCAAAAAAAAGCAUGAGUUGUGGUUUUUGAUAAAUGGCAAACCUGUGAGAUUCUCUAUCCAAGAGUUUGCAAUAGUAUCUAGAUUAUACACUAGUGGCGAAUUAACUCCUG